GAUGAACGCUGGCGGCGUGCCUAAUACAUGCAAGUCGAGCGAACAGACGAUGAUCUUGCUCCUCUGACGUUAGCGGCGGACGGGUGAGUAACACGUGUAUAACCUACCUAUAAGACUGGGAUAACUUCGGGAAACCGGAGCUAAUACCGGAUAAUAUAUUGAACCGCAUGGUUCAAUAGUGAAAGACGGUGUUUCUGGCACUUAUAGAUGGAUCCGCGCCGCAUUAGCUAGUUGGGAAGGUAACGGCUUACCAAGGCGACGAUGCGUAGCCGACCUGAGAGGGUGAUCGGCCACACUGGAACUGAGACACGGUCCAGACUCCUACGGGAGGCAGCAGUAGGGAAUCUUCCGCAAUGGGCGAAAGCCUGACGGAGCAACGCCGCGUGAGUGAUGAAGGUCUUCGGAUCGUAAAACUCUGUUAUUAGGGAAGAACAAAUGUGUAAGUAACUAUGCACGUCUUGACGGUACCUAAUCAGAAAGCCACGGCUAACUACGUG
rnacentral:rRNA from 1 species